CGUCAAGUCCUCAUGGCCCUUAUAGGUGGGGCUACACACGUCAUACAAUGGCUGGUACAAAGGGUUGCCAACCCGCGAGGGGGAGCCAAUCCCACAAAGCCAGUCGUAGUCCGGAUUGCAGUCUGCAACUCGACUGCAUGAAGUCGGAAUCGCUAGUAAUCGUGGAUCAGCAUGUCACGGUGAAUACGUUCCCGGGUCUU
rnacentral:rRNA from 1 species